AUGCCGAGAAGCAGCGUUGGUUCCGCCCCGGGCGAUGCACUCCUGGAUAGAUACCCUGUGGAUGACAUCAUGGAGAGCACUAACUGUGAGCUACACUUCAAAAUGAAGAACAUAUCCAUGAAGGUGGCGGACACCAUUGCUUAUACAAAUUCCCCUGAUGCAACCUUCCAUUGCAACCCGAUUCCAGCCGGCUAUGCUCGUGUCGUGGUUGAUGAGGUGGUGGACCAAUAUUCGGGGCUAGAGCUUGACAUUCCUGGAGGUGACGAGGAGCACAUACUGGGAGAGGCCAAACAUCGUAUCAUCCUAUGGAGAAAGCAUUGCAUCAUCUUUCGAAGGCCACCGACACCGCGCCAGCCGACUCCUCCUCGAAGUCCGACACCGCAUCAGCAAACUCCCGCUCCUCCAAGUCCACCAACGCGCCAGGCCACUAAUACGUCCAUUUUGCAUCAUGCUUUUAUAUCGAUAUUUAUUGCAUUAUGGGCUGUUAUUACACAUUAUGUCACAAUACUUAUGCCUAUUCUCUCUUAUUUUACAAGUUUUACAUGA
rnacentral:rRNA from 1 species